rnacentral:rRNA from 1 species
AACGAACGCUGGCGGCAUGCCUAACACAUGCAAGUCGAACGAGACCUUCGGGUCUAGUGGCGCACGGGUGCGUAACGCGUGGGAACCUGCCCUUAGGUUCGGAAUAACUCCCCGAAAGGGGUGCUAAUACCGGAUAAUGUCUUCGGACCAAAGAUUUAUCGCCUUUGGAUGGGCCCGCGUUGGAUUAGCUAGUUGGUAGGGUAAAAGCCUACCAAGGCGACGAUCCAUAGCUGGUCUGAGAGGAUGAUCAGCCACACUGGGACUGAGACACGGCCCAGACUCCUACGGGGGGCAGCAGGGGGGAAUAUUGGACAAGGGGCGAAAGCCUGAUCCAGCAAUGCCGGGUGGGGGAUGAGGGCCUUGGGGUUUUAAAGCUCUUUUACCCGGGAUGAUAAUGACAGUACCGGGAGAAUAAGCCCCGGCUAACCCCG